UCCAGCUAAGGUAUGCAGAGGUAGUAAAGUGCAUUCCUGUACGAUGUCGUCUGCCGCUAAAGACAAGGAAAAGGGCGAUUCGCCUGGAAGAAAGUCUGCGGAUGAGGAUACAAUGUUAGUGAAAGUUGUCACGGAGUAUUUUAAACUCGCCGGGGCAACUUUAUUCGUCUGGUUUUUCGGAUAUUUUCAGUUCAGCCCCAGUUGGUUGCUUCUCGGCUUGGUUGUCUACUCUUGGAAAGCAAAGCACAAUAAAGAUAAGAAAUGGAAAAUAAAAAUUGCACAAGAAAUUGCACGUGAUGAAAGAGAGGCGAUUCUGGCACGAGUCGAGGAGCUGCCGUCGUGGGUUUACUUUCCGGAUGUGGAACGAGCGGAAUGGGUGAACAAGAUUAUAGACCAGCUAUGGCCGUACAUUGGUGAUUACGUCAAAAAGUUGCUGAUAGAAUCGAUCGAGCCCCAGAUUCGAGCGAGCUUGCCAGACUCCCUCAAAUCUUUCAAGUUCAGCAAGAUCGACCUCGGAGAUAUUCCUCCACGAGUUGGCGGAGUCAAAGUGUACACUAAUCUAGUCCGACGAGAUGAAGUGUACAUGGAUUUGGAAAUCACGUACAGCAGCGAUGCCGAUGUAGCUGUCAAAGUGAAGGGGAUUAACGCUGGUAUCAAGGAUUUGCAUAUCCACGGCACUCUGAGAGUGAUCUUCAAACCUUUGAUCAGCAAGAUGCCGCUAAUCGGGGGAAUCUCUGUCUUCUUCCUCAACAGUCCGAACAUUGACUUCAAUUUGACAAGCUUGGCAAAUGCAUUUGAUGUUCCAGGUCUGAAUGACAUGCUUCACAAAAUAGUGUCGAAUCAAGUUGCUAGCAUGAUGGUCCUUCCGAAUCGGAUUUCCAUCCAGAUGGCAGAUGGUGUCAAUCUGAACAAGCUGAGAUAUCCACAGCCUCAGGGUGUGCUACGUAUCUCCCUGGUAGAGGCGAAAGACCUCAUCAAAGCGGACAUCAGCAUUACUGGGAAGGGCAAGUCCGACCCAUAUGCCACGGCAUCAGUGGGUGCACUUACGUUUCAAACCAAGGUGAUUGACAACACGGUCAACCCACUGUGGAAUCAGACAUUUGAGGCUAUCAUUGAUGCUGCUGAUGGUCAGAUGUUGGACUUGUUUGUCCUGGACAAGGACCCUGGUAACAAGGAUGAUAAGCUGGGAGAUGUACAGAUAGAGAUCAGUCAAGUGAAAGAGAAAGGUCUUCUUGAUGAUUGGCUGCAACUGGAGAAUAUCAAGAAAGGUUUCAUUCACACCCGACUUCAGUGGCUGUAUUUAGCCAACGACCCUCUCGAGCUUGAUCGGAUUAUGCAACAGAUUCAAGAAGAAAACAAAGAUGAUGAAAGUAUUUCUUCUUGCAUUCUGCUCGUCAAUCUUGAUUCUGCACGUGACCUGCCGAGAGGCAAGAAAACGCUAUCCGAGCCGAGUCCGAUGGUUAAGCUGUGUGUUGGCCGUGACAAGCAGGAGAGUACAGCCAAGGCCAACACCAACGAACCACGAUGGGAAGAGAACUUCCGAUUCCUCGUGCAUAACCCAAACUACCAGAACAUGGAAAUUGAGGUCUGGGAUUCCAAGAGCAAUAAAUUGCUUGGAUCUGCCACAAUAAAGCUGAAGGACUUGCUCGUUGCCACGGAUAUGGUGCUGGAUCAGCAGUUUCAAAUAAGAAAUGUUGUGACAACUGGCCAAGUACAUAUGAGACUGGCUCUCAGGGUGCUGACCCCGGAAUUGAACCCGGAAUGGAUGGAUAAAGAAGAAUUCAUUGACCCUCCUCCGGAGAAUCAGGGCUCGCCUGUGGACAAACCACCCGAGGGGACGUCCGUCGACCAGAACAACAGUCAGAAAUCAAACAACCAGGAGUCGGACAAACCAGCUGCCACUUCAACAUCGCCGGCAUCCACCAUGUCGUCAUCAACAGCAGCAACUACGCAGGGUGGUGAGGACAUGCUCAUUCCAUCGGCUAACAAGGAGGUGUCGAGCGAGGUGCGACAGCGAAAACCACAGACUUCCAAUGUUGAAUACGCAGGCCAGUAUGAUCGAGGCCGAAUCCAGAUGACGUUCCGCUAUAGCGUACAGAGACAGCGACUCAUAAUAGUCAUUCAUCAGUGUGUAAACCUGCUCCCACUGGACAGCAACAAUCUGUCUGAUCCGUACGUCCGUAUGUACCUGCUUCCGGACAAAUCAUCAGGGAGCAAGAGAAAGACACAGGUUGUCAAGGACAAUCUGAACCCUGUGUUCGAUGAAACGUUUGAGUAUUCUGUGAACCCCACAGAAUUGUCGAGUCGGACCCUUGAGAUUAUGGUGAAGAAUCAGACGGGAGUCUUCUCCUCCAGCGAAAAAGUGAUGGGCGUGGUCAGCCUCGACUUGGCCACACUCGACACCACAAAGGCCAUCACCGAAUGGUUUGAUCUGCAGCCAGAAGUUGGAGCGCAGAAAGUGUCCAUGGUGGAAUCAGACGUGUAGAAAACGCAACUCGCACCCUCGCAGAAUACUCCAUAUUACGGCAUAGUUAUCUUCAUGCUAAACUUAUAACGCUGUUUUUAGAAUAUUUUAAGCAAUGAAUACAAAUUUUAUUAUCGAAAUAUUUUUUUUAUUAGAUUCAUAGCUACAUGUAUAGUGCUUGUUAUUGAAUAGAAUUGUGUUAUUGCAGCUAAUAUAUAUAUUGUGUAUGUCAUAUAUAAUGGUUUUACAUUUCAUUUAUUCAUGGUCAUAUAUUUUUGUUAACGAGCACAUUUUGAUUUAAUUUUAUUUUGUUCUAUGUUGUGAGAUUAAGAAAAUAAUGUUUUGCUUCUUCAAAAGUCGCAUUAAUGGAUUGACAUUGAUACCUGUUUAUUCAAGACUCGAAACAUAUGGCAGUGCAACCAUUUAACAGGUUACAAAACACACAGCAGAUAGUGUAACUAUUCAACGGGUUACAAAAUAAACGAUCAACGGGUUACCAAAUACAUGACAGGCAGUGUAACCAUUCAACAUUUUAGCAAAUAAACCACAGAUUCUGUAACUGUUUUAACAAGUUACCAAAAUGACAGUGUAACCAUUUAGCGGGUUACAGAAUAAACAGCAGUGUUACAACCAUUCAACAGAUUAUGAAAUGAAACAGCAGACAAUGUAACCAUUAAUCAGGUUACAGAAUAAACAGCAGUGUUACUACCAUUCAACAGAUUAUGAAAUGAAACAGCAGACAAUGUAACCAUUUAUCAGGUUACAGAAUAAACAGCUGACAAUGUAACCGUUCAACAGAUUAUGAAAUAAACAGCAGACAAUGUUACCAUUGAUCAGGUUACAGAAUAAACAGCUGGCAAUGUAACCGUUCAACAGAUUAUGAAAUAAACAGCACAGACAGUGUAACCAUUCAACAGAUUAUGAAAUAAACAGCAGACAAUGUUACUGUUUAUCAGGUUACUGAAUAAACAGCUGACAAUGUAACCAUUUAUCAGGUUAUAGAAUAAACAGCAGACAAUGUAACCAUUUAUCAGGUUAUAGAAUAAACAGCAGACAAUGUAACCAUUUAUCAGGUUAUAGAAUAAAUAGUUUAUGAAACAAAGAGCAGUGUAAUCACUCAUGAGGUUACAAACUGAACAGUAGACAAUGUAACCAGGUAUCAAGUUGCAGUGAUGUUCUGUAAGAACCGUGCGCUGCAGAUAUUCAAAAUACCUCAGACACUUUUCAAACUGUGUGAAGCUUGAAUCAAAAUCAGUUUGGCUACAGACAAAGAUGAAUUCAACAACAAACAGAAAUUGUGGUUACUGAAAAAAACAUUAUAAGAAGAUAUGGUUACAAAAAACCCAAAAAAAUUACAACAUAUUUUUAAACUUUUCUUUCAUCAUAUUCUGUGCUGCAUCAAGAUGCAAUUAUUUUGUUUUGUGGGGUUUUUUUGUUCUUUAUACUGUUUUAUGUUUAUCAGUACCGGGUAGUCGGUUUAAUACGUUAUUUUUUAUUAUUUAAUAUAAUAUGUAAUGGACAAAAUUGUGCAUAAGAUUUUUGUUUUAUAUUGUAUAGUGUUGGUGUGAGAUUACUGAAGUUAGUUUUAACGCUAUCAUAGACCAGUUGUUAUAAUUGUUGUGAUAGAAUUAUUUGUCCUGAAUUGAAAAGGGGGGUGGGGGGGUUGUGGGGGGUAUUUUCUAUGUCCUUAAAGAGACUGUUGAGUUUGUUGCCAAUGUAAUAUGUUUCUGGCAAAAAGAGCCUUAUUAACAGCUACUAGGAUCAAUCCCCGUCAGUGGACCCAUUGGGCUAUUUUUUGUUGCAGCCAGUGCACCACGACUGGUAUAUCAAAGGCUAGUGGUCAUAGGGUUUUACGUGCACAUUCAGAACAAGCUGUUGUAGC
rnacentral:misc_RNA from 1 species